GGGGAAUAUUGGGCAAUGGGCGCAAGCCUGACCCAGCAACGCCGCGUGAAGGAAGAAGGCUUUCGGGUUGUAAACUUCUUUUGACAGGGAAGAGCAGAAGACUGUACCUGUCGAAUAAGCCACGGCUAACUACGUGCCAGCAGCCGCGGUAAUACGUAGGUGGCAAGCGUUGUCCGGAUUUACUGGGUGUAAAGGGCGUGUAGCCGGGAAGGCAAGUCAGAUGUGAAAUCUGGAGGCUCAACCUCCAAACUGCAUUUGAAACUGUUUUUCUUGAGUAUCGGAGAGGCAAUCGGAAUUCCUAGUGUAGCGGUGAAAUGCGUAGAUAUUAGGAGGAACACCAGUGGCGAAGGCGGAUUGCUGGACGACAACUGACGGUGAGGCGCGAAAGCGUGGGGAGCAAAC
rnacentral:rRNA from 1 species